rnacentral:rRNA from 1 species
ACGCAAUAGAUACCCGGGUAGUCCACGCCCUAAACGAUGUCUACUAGCUGUCGGGUCUUAAUUGACUUGGUAAACGCAGCUAAACGCGUGAAGUAGACCGCCUGGGGAGUACGGUCGCAAGAUUAGAACUCAAAGGAAUUGACGGGGACCCGCACAAGCGGUGGAUGAUGUGGAUUAAUUCGAUGCAACGCGAAAACCUUACCUACCCUUGACAUGUACGGAACCCUGCUGAAAGGUGGGGUGCUCGAAAGAGAGCCGUAACACAGGUGCUGCAUGGCUGUCGUCAGCUCGUGUCGUGAGAUGUUGGGUUAAGUCCCGCAACGAGCGCAACCCUUGUCAUUAGUUGCUACGAAAGGGCACUCUAAUGAGACUGCCGGUGACAAACCGGAGGAAGGUGGGGAUGACGUCAAGUCCUCAUGGCCCUUAUGGGUAGGGCUUCACACGUCAUACAAUGGUACAUACAGAGGGCUGCCAACCCGCAGGGGAGCUAAUCCCAGAAAGUGUAUCGUAGUCCGGAUUGUAGUCUGCAACUCGACUAC